rnacentral:rRNA from 1 species
UGAGGAAUAUUGCGCAAUGGAGGCAACUCUGACGCAGCCAUGCCGCGUGCAGGAAGAAGGCGCUACGCGUUGUAAACUGCUUUUAUCCGGGAAGAAACCCCUCCACGCGUGGAGGGUUGACGGUACCGGAGGAAUAAGCACCGGCUAACUUCGUGCCAGCAGCCGCGGUAAUACGAAGGGUGCAAGCGUUAUCCGGAUUCAUUGGGUUUAAAGGGUGCGUAGGCGGGAUAGCAAGUCAGUGGUGAAAUCCCGUGGCUUAACCACGGAAUUGCCAUUGAUACUGCUGCUCUUGAGUACGCGCGACGUGGGCGGAAUGUGCCGUGUAGCGGUGAAAUGCUUAGAUAUGGCACAGAACACAGAUAGUGAAGACAGCUCACGAGGGCGAAACUGACGCUGAGGCACGAAAGCGUGGGGAUCAAACA